CUUCCUACGGGGGGCAGCAGUGAGGAAUAUUGGUCAAUGGGCGGAAGCCUGAACCAGCCAAGUCGCGUGAGGGAAUAAGGCCCUACGGGUCGUAAACCUCUUUUGCCGGGGAGCAAGGGCGGGGACGUGUCCCGGCCCGGAGAGUACCCGGAGAAAAAGCAUCGGCUAACUCCGUGCCAGCAGCCGCGGUAAUACGGAGGAUGCGAGCGUUAUCCGGAUUUAUUGGGUUUAAAGGGCGCGUAGGCGGACGCUUAAGUCAGCGGUAAAAUUGCGGGGCUCAACCUCGUCGAGCCGUUGAAACUGGG
rnacentral:rRNA from 1 species